UACGUAGGGUCCAAGCGUUAUCCGGAAUCACUGGGCGUAAAGCGUGCGUAGGGGGUUUGUUAAGUGUAUUGCGAAAUCCUGUGGCUCAACCAUAUGGACUGUAAUGCAUACUGGCAAACUAGAGGACGGCAGAGGCAAGUGGAAUUACUGGUGUAGCAGUGAAAUGCGUAGAGAUCAGUAGGAACACCAAUGGCGAAGGCAGCUUGCUGGGCCGACCCUGACGCUAAGGCACGAAAGCGUGGGGAGCGAACAGG
rnacentral:rRNA from 1 species